rnacentral:rRNA from 1 species
ACCUGAAACCGUGUACGUACAAGCAGUGGGAGCACCCUUCGGGGUGUGACUGCGUACCUUUUGUAUAAUGGGUCAGCGACUUAUAUUCUGUAGCAAGGUUAACCGUAUAGGGGAGCCGGAGGGAAACCGAGUCUUAAUUGGGCGUUAAGUUGCAGGGUAUAGACCCGAAACCCGGUGAUCUAGCCAUGGGCAGGUUGAAGGUUGGGUAACACUAACUGGAGGACCGAACCGACUAAUGUUGAAAAAUUAGCGGAUGACCUGUGGCUGGGGGUGAAAGGCCAAUCAAACCGGGAGAUAGCUGGUUCUCCCCGAAAGCUAUUUAGGUAGCGCCUCGUGAAUUCAUCUCCGGGGGUAGAGCACUGUUUCGGCUAGGGGGCCAUCCCGGCUUACCAACCCGAUGCAAACUGCGAAUACCGGAGAAUGUUAUCACGGGAGACACACGGCGGGUGCUAACGUCCGUCGUGAAGAGGGAAACAACCCAGACCGCCAGCUAAGGUCCCAAAGUCAUGGUUAAGUGGGAAACGAUGUGGGAAGGCCCAGACAGCCAGGAUGUUGGCUUAGAAGCAGCCAUCAUUUAAAGAAAGCGUAAUAGCUCACUGGUCGAGUCGGCCUGCGCGGAAGAUGUAACGGGGCUAAACCAUGCACCGAAGCUGCGGCAGCGAACGUAUCACCCAAGACAACUUUACGGAGUUGACGAUUGACGGAGCGAAGCGACGUCAAAGCGUUCAUUAAAGUCGAGUUGGCUUAGGGAUACGUUCGUUGGGUAGGGGAGCGUUCUGUAAGCCUGUGAAGGUGUGUCGUGAGGCAUGCUGGAGGUAUCAGAAGUGCGAAUGCUGACAUAAGUAACGAUAAAGCGGGUGAAAAGCCCGCUCGCCGGAAGACCAAGGGUUCCUGUCCAACGUUAAUCGGGGCAGGGUGAGUCGACCCCUAAGGCGAGGCCGAAAGGCGUAGUCGAUGGGAAACGGGUUAAUAUUCCCGUACUUGGUGUUACUGCGAAGGGGGGACGGAGAAGGCUAUGUUGGCCGGGCGACGGUUGUCCCGGUUUAAGCGUGUAGGUGUGUGUUCCAGGUAAAUCCGGUUCACUUUAACACUGAGGCGUGACGACGAGGCACUACGGUGCUGAAGCAACAAAUGCCCUGCUUCCAGGAAAAGCCUCUAAGCAUCAGGUAACACGAAAUCGUACCCCAAACCGACACAGGUGGUCAGGUAGAGAAUACCAAGGCGCUUGAGAGAACUCGGGUGAAGGAACUAGGCAAAAUGGUGCCGUAACUUCGGGAGAAGGCACGCUGACAC